rnacentral:rRNA from 1 species
UACGUAGGGACCAAGCGUUGUUCGGAUUUACUGGGCGUAAAGGGCGCGUAGGCGGCAAUUCAAGUCAGCUGUGAAAUCUCCGGGCUUAACUCGGAACGGUCAGCUGAUACUGCUAUGACUAGAGUCCGGUAGGGGACCAUGGAAUUCCUGGUGUAGCGGUGAAAUGCGCAGAUAUCAGGAGGAACACCGGUGGCGAAGGCGGUGGUCUGGGCCGGCACUGACGCUGAGGAGCGAAAGCGUGGGGAGCGAACAGG